rnacentral:rRNA from 1 species
UACGUAGGGGGCGAGCGUUGUCCGAAGUUACUGGGCGUAAAGGGCUCGUAGGUGGCCAACUAAGUCAGACGUGAAAUCCCUCAGCUUAACUGGGGAACUGCGUCUGAUACUGGAUGGCUUGAGUUUGGGAGAGGGAUGCGGAAUUCCAGGUGUAGCGGUGAAAUGCGUAGAUAUCUGGAGGAACACCGGUGGCGAAGGCGGCCCGCUGGGCAGUGGCUGACGCUGAGGCGCGACAGCGUGGGGAGCAAACAGG